CCAGCAGCCGCGGUAAUUCCAGCUCCAAUAGUGUAUAUUAAAGUUGUUGCAGUUAAAAAGCUCGUAGUCGAAUGUAGGGUUAUAAACGCCGAGAUGUCUUUUAGGAGACGAUUUUUGGCGUCAUAACUCUUUUUUACCGACCAAAAUUUGGUUUUAAUUAAUCAGAUCGUGGGCGCCGGUAAUAUUUACUGUGAAUAAAUCAGAGUGUUCAUGGCAGGCCGUAUGGGCUUAAAUAUCUCAGCAUGGAAUAAUAGAAUAGGACUUAUGGUUCUAUUUUGUUGGUUUUUGGAGCCGAAGUAAUGAUUAAUAGGAAUAGUUGGGGGCACUCGUACUCCGUUGUCAGA
rnacentral:rRNA from 1 species